rnacentral:ribozyme from 1 species
AAAGAAGAAGAAAAAGAAGAAGAGGCAAUGAUAGCGGAAUCCCCCUUUUGGUGAACCAAAGAAGUUCUUAUUUGAAAGUUUUUUUUUUCAUUUUACUUU